AUCCCCAGUAAUGGGCAAAGAACCACCUUGUUGGUGAUGUUGUUCUUAUAUCAGUCAGGGGCAGAGCAGAUGGCAGUCCAUUGUUCAUCCUAGCUUGGUGCCUGGCUUGGUGGCCGAAGCUGUUUUUUUGCCAGGAAAUAUAA
rnacentral:snoRNA from 1 species